rnacentral:rRNA from 1 species
AUGUUGAUCAACUGCCAGAUCGGACGCCAUGUCACCAAAGUGGCACACGCUUAUGUUAUUGUUGCACAAAGCCCCCUAGUGUUAUUAUGUAGAUGCAUUAUAAGGUCUUGCUCAGUUGCUUACAGAGAAGUUCAUCAGGAUAAUAUUCUCUGCGCAAGGGUUUUGAGAGCUAAAUAUUAUCCUGAUGGAAAUCUCUUGAAGGUAGGACCGAAGAAGGGAUCUUCAUUUACAUGGAAAGUAUUGUUGUCGGUCUCCAGACUUUCAAAAGAGGGCAUAUUUGGAGAGUGGGAUCAGGAAGUAAAUCAAUAUCUAGGAUGA